AACGGGACGUACGGACGGACAGACGACACAAUACAAACAGCGACUAUUCAUCUAACAAUGAUUUAAAUAAGUACAAAAGCAAACACCAGAGUCAUCGUUGCAGGACGGCACAAGUGUUCUUUACAUUUAUUACACCACGGGUCAUAAGUGCAUGAUAACGUUAAAGACAGCACGGCCUAAGCUAAGACAUUUGGAAAAUAUUAGUUAUAAAGUGUUUCAAUUUUAGUUUGUCUGUGCUUGUGACAACAAAAUUAUUUUAUAUGCUUUGUCUCUGUAAAGCAGUGUGUAGAACAAUUUAAUUUGUGGCUACUAUUUUAAAUAACAAAAAUAAGGCCUUAUAAAGACGUGCUGGACAUUGGGCUGCAAUUAACUUCUUUAGAGAAGAAAUUAAAGUGUGUAUACAGAAUGUUUUAAUCGACUUUGAUUUGUACAAAUUGAUCAAUAUGAUACAUCUAUGAAAACAACGGAAGAGAUGUCGACGCUUGCGCAAAAAGAAACACAAGAACAAAUCAAUGGACUAGUUUUGGCAUUUCGAGAGGAGAUUAUGGCCGAACUUCAGAUGGCCAGUGACUUUAUGUCACAACUACAAGCACGAGUUGAGACUUUGUCGAAAAGCUUCAAGAAAAAACAAGAAGAAGACAGAGAACAGGAGGUUUUUCUAGACACAGCUAGAUGUCAGAACCAAGAUGAAACAACUGUUUGAAAAACAUGAAGAGUUGAGCAGUAAGCUUGAAAACCUGCUCGGACAAAAAGAUUCUCUAGGUAAACAAGAUUAGAUAAAAUUAGUAAACUAAACAUUAUGUAAUAAAACCAAUCAGAUCGACUCUUCUGUCUUACACAACAGAAUCCAACUCCCUCUGAAAAGCUAAUUUCAGCAGAAUGAUGUGUAUCAAAUAUCUGGACUUAACUAGGUAAAUGACUCACUCAUACGAUUGAAGAUUGUUUGCAAAUAUUGACUGUACUGUUAAUGUUUGCAAACAAUCUUCAAGAGUGACAAAACUAUCGUAUAUCCGAGUGAUUAAUAACAAAUACAUUUAUCAUAAAUAGCACCAGAGUACCUUCGUUUUUUUAUCGUUUUGUUUCCUUUGUCUGCAAUUUUCAAUACUGAAAAAUUCUAUUUAGCACAAAUCAAGAUUUAAUUCAGUUUUCCACACAAAAAAGUAGCUUUUCGAAAACCAAAGUGACCUAUAUUUUAAAAAAUAUGGCAAAUAAUUUAUAAAAAAAAAAAAUGUGUGUCCCCUGUUCAGGUGCUAAUAUCUAGCCUAGACUGCCAAUAAAUGGUCGUUAUCUUUGGUAUGUAGGGUCUCAAAUAGUUAACACAGUAUUUUAUUUCAUCGAGUCAAACGACAACGUCUAUUAGUAAACAAGUCGCUGAUACUUAGAGUGCCCACAUCUUAACAAGUCAACAUAUACAUGUAUACAAUGAAGUUCUGCGGUUGUUGACAACUUGAAAUACAAAUACUAAGAGCAUCUAUAAUGUGGGCAAGGAGAAUACCCUCUUACUAGUUACGUCUCACUAAUACAAAUGUCACUGUGCCAUCAAAUCACAAGCUCAACAUGCGCCUAGCUCAAUAUGAGAUGGCUGAUUGGUCAUGUUGUAUGCCCUCUAGACUGUCGUCUCAGUGGUUCCGGGUUGGAUCCCUACUCACUGUCCUGGGGUAGGCUCGGUCUUGGAUGUAAUAAUCUUCAUUUCUGAAGAAACAUCUGAAUUUUGUGAAAAGCAUAUUUAGUCAAUUGUCUAGUCAUUUUAUACUUUGGAAAGGACAUCUGGCUAAAAUGUGUGACUUCCCCGACAGAAGAAGGGACGAGAUAAUUAUCGCUACCGCCAAGAAAUUGUAUUAAUUAGAACCAGCUUUAUUUCAAAACGUCUGCAGUAAAAACAUCAAUGAUAAAACCUGUCUUAUUUAAUAUCUCUCCUCAAAUCUAUCUCAAAAGCAAUGAUGAUGUUACGUCCUCCACAAAACUCUGAACUGAGAUUAAGGGUUACCAUCUCGACAAGGACCCAGGACCUAGCACUGGCGGAUCCAGAGGGGGGAGCGGUAUGGGCGAUCGCCACCCCCCCCCCCACUCGGCCGGGGGCGGACGAAUUUUAGUAUAGAAUUCACACAAUUUGUAUACGAAUUUAUUACUUAUGUUAAUAAUAUAUACUAAUUAUUUAUAUUUCAACCUAUUUUUACAUUAUUUCGCCCCCCCUUCUAGUAUUUUGGCCGAUUUGGUAGGGCCGGGUGGGGGCGAUGGCAUCAAUCCGCCCCUCCACCAUAAACUUUCGGGUGGGGGGGCGGUCCUACUUUUAUGGAGAAAUCAUAGUAUGUGAACAAAAUUAGUCAAAUAUCUAUAUAAUAUAAACAGGUGCGAUACAUGCAAUCACCUUCUCCCCAUCGGACAAACCAAUACUUUUUCUUUUUGUAUUAUAGUAAGAAAUUACAAAAUUUAAAAAAUCUGACACUAAUAUAAUUUAUAUAUGCUAUAAAGUAAAUUCUUAUAUCGAGUCGCCCAACCCCUAUUCUUUAAUGCCAAAUGCAAUCGUUAGCAGAAAUUAUAAAAAAGGAGAGAGGAUUAUUCGUUUUCAUUCUACCACCCCCUCCCCUUUCCAGACAGAGUUUGUGUAAUUUCACAUGAUUUAUCAUAACUAUUUUAAGAAAGACUUUGCUUUGGAAAAGUUAUAAUUCAAACGAAAGUUUUCAAUAUAACAGUCACGGUUGAGAUGAGUUCAAAAGCCAGAUAAUCUUUUCCUAGUCGCCUUUUUCCAGCCUUACUCUAUCUCAUAUUUUUCUAGUUAAAUAAAUUUAAGACUAUAACUCACAAUUUAUGCUUGAAUAUUAUUUAUCGAAUAAUUUUUUUUUUCGGCGGCGAUCCUCAAAGCGUUAAUCUAAAUUUUUGGGGUAUCUUAUCUUUUCAAAGAACAAAUCGGUUUUAUUUGCAAUGUAUUAAGGUACUAUAAAUUCAUAUUAAAAUAUUUUUUCCAAAUUUUUCAAAAGGGUCCUUUAUAAUAGAAUGAAUAAUGAGCUGUAGAUGUCAGGAGAAUGCGUUUCUGCAGUGAAAAAUGCAAGAAAACGCUUUUGGGUGUCGCUGCUUCAACCCGAACCCCACUGAAGGAGCUUACAGCGCUCUCCCAGACCCCCAAGCUUGCAAGAGAAAGGCUUCAACAUGACUGGUUUUUUUUUCUUUUUCUUUUUCGCCGAAUAUUGAGAAACAGUCUUAUUUUAUUCUCAUAAUUGAAUAUAUAUAUAUAUAUGAAGUCUUUUCCUCAUCCAGAAUUGACACAAUUAUCUUUCUAUCGUUGAUUAACAGCUCCACUAACAUGGUUGAAGAAAUAAUUUGAUUUCUGUUUGCUUCGCACAGACGGACUGUUGCAAAGAAUUUCCAUUGAACCAAAUUUUGCUACAAAAACAACGAAACAACCUUACUUAAAGAAAGGAAAAGAAAAGAAAUGUUUAAAGUUCCAGUUCUGUGUCAUUUUACGUCUCGGGAAACAAUCUUUUCACUUUGUAACUUCUUGUGUGACUAAAGAGGCCAAUCCUUGAUACACAGCUGCGAUCGCAGAGUUGGGCAUAUGUAAUCACCAGGCGCCGUUGCAUUUUCACUCUUCUUUCUGCUUCUGUUGUAUAUGGCAUCUGCAAUCCGAGACCAUUCCUUUAUGCUCUCUCUCCAUGUGGAUCUAUCCAGUGCUACUUUUUCCCACCUGCUAGUUUCGAUUUCGAAGAGCUUCAUGUCGCGUUUGCAUACAUCCGUAUAACGUAAAAGUGGACGACCAGCGGCUCUCCUGCCUUCUAUUAGAUCACCAUACAGAAUGUCUUGUGGAAGUCGACCUACUGACAUUCUACGAACGUGGCCAAGACAGCCAAGGCGUCUGCUGCUGAUAACAGAGCGGAUGUCCUGGCAGUCUGCUCUUCGUAGCACUUCCUCAUUGGUUAUCUUAUCUUGCCACCUUAUUUUAAAGAUCCGCCUUAGGCAUCGGAGGUGAAAGACAUUCAGCUUUUUUUCCUGCCAUGAGUAGGUUGACCACGUUUCACUUCCGUACAGCAAGGUGCUCAACACAGGUAGACUAGGGCUUUAGUGCUGCUAGUCAGCAAUAUGUUGUCCCACACUCUUUUCUGCAACCGUGACAUGGUGCCCAUUGCUUUGGCUAUCCUGUUGUUAAUGUCUUUAUUCAAUAGAGCAUUCUAGGAUAUUAUGGAGCCAGGAUAGCAAAAGUUAUCAACAAUUUCUUGUGGUUGGCCAUUAAUAUUUAUAUGCGGUGCAGUAUUUGUGUUCUGAACUAGUAUCUUAGUCUUCCUUUGACUUAUAUUUAAGCCGAACUUCUGGCAAACAUCGGAUUGUUUGUCAACCAGGGACUGAAGCUGAAUAUCAGAAUCAGACACAAUAGCUGCAUCAUCAGCAAACAUGAGUUCCUGAUAAGUAUUUUCCUAACCUUGGUUUUUGCCCGCAGCCUUGAUACAUUUAAAAGUUUUCAAGAGGAUCUUGUAUAUAUUGUUACAAAUGACCAGUGACAGGAAGAGGUUAACGUGUGACCCCGACGAGAUAACACAGCAGCGGCAGUUCCCUGGAAUGUACAUGUAUAAACAAAGACAGGAUGUGACGUGUCCUUACAUGUUAUUCCAAAAGGUACUAGCAAUGUCCAGUGACAGAUAGAGGUCAAAAGUUGUGACCCCGGCAAGAUGACACUACAGCCAAUGUUUUCUGGAAUCUACAUGUAUAAACAAAGACAGGAUGUGACGUUUCCUCACGUGUUAUUCCAGAGGAUACUAGCCAUGUUUGUGCAACUUUGGACAAGCGAUUAGGGACUCUAUAUAAGCCAGAGCGUUAAUGUGAAAGUCAGUCGUAUGGAGUCGUAUGGAGUCCUGAGUGAGCCGUUACAGUCGAUACAGACGAUGUAAGACGUGUGCGGCUCUGUGGAAGAGAAAUGUGUACGACUCGAUGCAAGUUAACUAGGGUAGAGUUAACUGGAGUGGACUACUGUCGUUAAAGUCUAUACAGCGAACUACAUUGGACUUGAGCCGUUACAGUCGAUACAGUCGAUGUAAGACGUGUGCGGCUCUGAUUCGGUAGACUUGAGUACGACUUGGUUCAGCUUUGGGAGACCUUGAGCGACACUGGGAAGUGUGUCGUUGGUCUGUUCUGUGGAAUACGGCUCGAGGAAAGUUGAGAAGAGAUGAAUUGCAACGAAGUGAAGAGAUGAAUUGCAAUGAAGUAUAGCUAACUGUAAACUGACAGAUAUUGUACAGUCUUCUACACUACAUGUUACAGUAAUGUUAGAGUUAAUAGUCAUUAAAGUUAUAUGAAGCUGAAAGUUUAGUCGUCAAGUUCUUUGCUGUGUUUUUAUUUGUGUGCCAACUAAUACAUCUAGCCAGAAAAAUUCAGAAAUAC